ACGCUCACGCCUCCGCGAAGCGAAUCGUAGCUGAUCACCUGAAAUACGAUUAGUCAAACAUUAGACUAUGAGUUAAGUCUUCAUUGUGUAAACAUUUCAACGAUCGGAAGGAGAGGGGUCAAAUCCCAUAAUUCCACCAAUCCUCACAGUACGCUACUGUCGCUGUUGGCUACUAUGCGUAAUAAUCCGGAGCUUAAAAUCGAGGAACUACUACCACAAAUACGACGACCACACUUUUAAAAUGGCUCUCGUGUAUAUAGUAUACAUG